AAGAAAUGAGGAAUGAACAUGGACUUCUUGUGCCCCAAAAGAAAAGACAGAAAGCUCCUAAAAUGAGCAAAUAAGCUGUGCAUCAUCUCUGGUGUUUGGGAAGGAAAUGACUGAAUAUGAUGAAGCCAAUUGAUGAAGAUAUCAAUUGAAUGGCCACCGAGUGCAUCACUGCUACCUGAACCCAUCAGUUAUCUGCUGUGAAGACUGCAUUCACAAACCGCUCUACUGCGACAGCUCAGAUGUUACGGCCUGCAAAGUAAACAUCACAGCUAAACAACGAGAGCUAGUUGUGGUGGGAUUCUUUUGGCCAAUAUCCCCAACAAGAAUCAAUGACAUCUAGACCAGGUGGAGUGUGAGGAGGACCGUCAGAGACUCCAGCCAGCCGAGCCAUGGAUUGCUCUCACUGUUACCAUCAGGCAGACGUUAUCACAGAACCUACACCAGCAGACAGUGAGACAAGUUCCUUUCACAGGCAAUCAGACUGAACUGAACUCAUACCAGUAAAACCAUACACACCCCACCAACCUCAUAUGCCCUGCACUCUUAUCAGUUAUGCUGACUGGACUCAAUAUUAUUAUGCACCCUGACAUUCUGUUUGCACUAAUUCAUACCGUGCUAUACUGCAGAGAUGUAUGUGUACUGUGAUUAUUAUUGUUUUCAAUUCAUGCUCUUUGUAUAGCAUAAUUUUUAACAUAUAUUGUUAUCUACCUGAAUUGAGUCCCUUAUAUAUGUGUGUUGCAUAUAUAUAUAUUCAGAAUUUGUAUUUCAUAUAUAUUCAUGAAUUAAUUCAUUUGUCAUCCAUACUGUCACGCUGCAGUCUGCACCCAAGACUUUCAUCACCUGUAUACUUGUGUUCAUUGUAUUGUGACAAUAAAGAUAUUUGAUUUAAAUUA